rnacentral:rRNA from 1 species
GUAACGGCGAGUGAAGCGGCAACAGCUCAAAUUUGAAAUCUGGCCCUCGGGUCCGAGUUGUAAUUUGCAGAGGAUGCUUUUGGCGCGGUGCCUUCCGAGUUCCCUGGAACGGGACGCCUUAGAGGGUGAGAGCCCCGUACGGUUGGACACCAAGCCUCUGUAAAGCUCCUUCGACGAGUCGAGUAGUUUGGGAAUGCUGCUCUAAAUGGGAGGUAAAUUUCUUCUAAAGCUAAAUAUUGGCCAGAGACCGAUAGCGCACAAGUAGAGUGAUCGAAAGAUGAAAAGCACUUUGAAAAGAGGGUUAAAUAGCACGUGAAAUUGUUGAAAGGGAAGCGUUUGCGACCAGACCUCUUCCUGGCGGAUCAUCCGGUGUUCUCACCGGUGCACUUCGCCAGGUCUAGGCCAGCAUCGGUUUCCGCAGGGGGACAAAAGCUCCAGGAACGUAGCUCCCUCGGGAGUGUUAUAGCCUUCUGCAUAAUACCCUUGCGGGGACCGAGGACCGCGCUUCGGCAAGGAUGCUGGCGUAAUGGUCGUCAACGACCCGUCUUGAAACACGGACCAAGGAGUCGAACAUUUGUGCGAGUGUUUGGGUGUCAAACCCUCACGCGUAAUGAAAGUGAACGGAGGUGAGAGCCCUUACGGGUGCAUCAUCGACCGAUCCUGAUGUCUUCGGAUGGAUUUGAGUAAGAGCAUAACUGUUCGGACCCGAAAGAUGGUGAACUAUGCGUGGAUAGGGUGAAGCCAGAGGAAACUCUGGUGGAGGCUCGCAGCGGUUCUGACGUGCAAAUCGAUCGUCAAAUCUGCGCAUGG